rnacentral:tRNA from 1 species
AUCUUUAUAGUUUAAGGAAAAUAUGACACUGAAAAUGUCAAGAUAUUUUUAUUAAGGAUA